GGUAAUCAAGGUAGGAAUCUUGCAAUCCUACGAAUCCAGUUGAACAGAUAGCUUAUAAGGUAUAUAACUUGAUUGCUAAUGUCUAAGCAACUUUGCAAGAGAAACAUUGCUCCCUAGAAGUAUGUGUUUUGUUACUCCCUGGACAUUUCUUUCACAUGGAGAUGACUUGUAUAUGUAGAAUGCCCAGUUUGAACUUUGCCUAAGCUGCUUCUGUGGUACUUCUAGCCAGUUUUGAUUGUCGCCCUCUGUUUAUGUUAAAGUGAGUAGGUGGGAUGGGUUGAGCUGGUGAUGAGUAGGGUUUCCCUGAGUGCUAACCUGACUCGUUUGUAAUUUAUUUAGGUCUUUUAGGUGUGGCUCAGGUUUGCUUUUGCAUAUGUUGUGUGUAAAGUUGUUCGUUGAUUAGUUGCAGCACAUCCUCAUCAAUAGCUGUUUCAGAAAGACUGGUCAGCAUUAAUAUAUAGUUGUAAGAUGCAUAUAUAUUAUCCAAGCAUCCUGAUGAAGACAGAAACCGGCAUAUAUGAAAUAUCAGGCAAAAAUGCUUCUAAAGCUGCAAAUUCCAUGAUAAUGAGGUGUAGGUUCCGACGAUUCUUGACUGAUUUAUAGUGCUUGGGAAGGUUGUGAUAUGUAUGCAUGCCAAAUUUCAACGUCAAAUUUUGGUACUGAAAUUUUGAAUUAAUGUUUGGUACUGAAAUUUGGCAUUAAUGUAGAAUAUGGCCUUCCUUGGUAUUUUAAAUUAUUUUAGAGAUGAUCUUUGAAACUUCUGCCCCGAGUAUUCAUGGAAUUUGUGAGUUUAGACAGUUUUUUGCUGGAUAUAUAUACCCUUGAAAGUUUCGUCCACAGCAGCUUAUCUCAGGUGUUGCUGGGAGAAACCCAACAAAUCAUGGGAUAUCAGAAAACUCAGUGAACAUCAUGGCAAGCUUGCAGCCAAGAAGCAAUCCAUGUCCUGUGGUCCUGCUGUUUAUUUCUGUUAGGCCAGAGUUCCAAUGUCUCUCGCAUUGCUCAGCUGUUGUACCUUCUCGAGUUUGAAUUCUGGAUUGUUAUAAUUUGUAUCUCAUAUAGAUCUGGUGUUAUAUCUUCUGAAAUAAUCUAUACUGAUGUCUGCCCUACUAGCUUGUGUUUACUAAGAACAUACCUAGCUAGACAGAUAGUAAGUAAGUACUCCCUCCGUCCGGAAUUACUUGUCGUAGAAAUGGAUGGAAAUGAAUGUAUCUAGAACUAAAAUACGUCUAGAUACAUCCAUUUCUCCGACAAGUAUUUCCGGACGGACUCCAUUUCUUCGACAAGUAUUUCCGGACGGACUCCAUUUCUCCGACAAGUAUUUCCGGACAGAGGGAGUAGCUCGUUACACCUCUUGUCUGUGCAUUACAUGUGACAUGAACACCGACCACAUUGUGACCUUUUAAUGUUACACAAAAUAGGUGAUAAACUGACUCAAGUUUGGAAUUUAUUUACUUGUUUUAGGUGUCAGUGCUAAAGUUUGCUUCAGCAUAUGUUGUGCUGAAGUUGUAAUUUCCUAGUGGUAGUUGCAGCAUGUACUCAGCAAUAGCUGUUCCAAAAGUAGUGCGCGCACCAGUAAUCUAUAGAGGCAUAUAGAGCAUACAAGCAUCCUGAUGAAGAGAGAAAUGACAGAUAUGAAAUAUCAGGUGAAAAUGCUCAUAUGGCUGUAGCAUUCAAUGAAAAAUGUGUAGGUCUCGAUGAUUCUCAAUUCAUUUAUACUGCUCGGGACGGUUGUGUUCUACUAUCUCUGUUUCUAAAUAUAAGUCUUUUUAGAGAUUUCACUAUAGACUAUAUUCGGAUGUAUAUAGAUAUGCCUUUUAGAGUAUAGGUUCACUUAUUUUGCUCCGUAUGUAGUCUAUACAAUGAAAUCCAUGCCAAGUUUGAGAUUCAAAUACAAUGUUAUUUGUGAGAUAUUUUGCUUGUAAAUUUUAUAUGUUGAUAAUGUGGAAUAUGGUAUGCCCAGGUACUGCAAAUUGAAGUGGUAUUCGUAACUUCUGCAUAGUAUUCAUGGAAUUGUGUGACUACGUUUUUUUGAGAGUACGCCUAGGCGUAUCAUAUUUUUUUAUAGAAGGCGGGAAAUUCCAAGAAGACUGAUGUAGUACAAACUCAACUAGCCACCACAUACAUUAGAAUUUACAACCACAACAUAAAGGGUGUAGCCUAAGUUAGAAAGACAAAGCAUGUCACGACCAACACCGGUCCCCUCUGAAGACAAUUGAAACUCAUCCAUCCAUGAAUGCCUAAAAGAGAUUGAUGAGUAGGUGGAGGACUUGACAAAGGCAUCGUAUUGGACACAUAAAUGACAACAUAAACAACACCUUGAAAGAUCGACCUAGGACAACAACGAGCAUUAAAGGAAUGCAACACACGACCUCCACAACAAUGAGCAUCAAAGGAAUGCAACCCAAGACCUCCAAAUCUUACCGCGUACAUAAUGCUCCGAAUUGAGAAACGACGUCGCCAUCGUCAAUUCGGAAUCGAAUCUAGGCUUUCGCCCGGAAAUAACAACCAAAUUCUAAAUGUCGGGGAGGGGAAACACACCUCAACGACGCCUCCAAAGACGCCUCAAGGAUACUUGGGCCGGUCGGUUGGGCCCGAUUUCAGAGGAACCCAACGAGAUAGUCUGGAAACCCCCGCAGCACGCCGGACGAAGCCGACUGUUGCUCUGCAUUCUGCACUGCACUGCACCGCCGCCGCCGCUCCGAUCGCUCGCCGCUGGAUCUACCCCACCUCGGCACUCCCGCCGCGGCGGUCCAUGGAGUUCCGCUUCCGCGCCGGGGACCGCGGGCCACCCGGCUCCUCCCCACCCGCGCCCUCCAGCUCCCCGCCGGCGCGGUUCUCCCACCCCCGCGACGGCUACGCCGGUGCCGUUGCUUCGGGCACGCAAGGUAAGCACCGCCGGAACAGAGCGUCCGACUUCACUCCCCGGAGCGCCCGAAUCCCUGACGCUCUCCGCCCCUCCGCGCAGCAGGGCCUUCGCCUUCGCCUUCGCCGCGGCCGCCGCUCGACUGGGAGGCGGCGCGGCGGGAGCACCUCAUUCGCGAGGAGGUGAGGCGGCGGCUCGUCGAGGAUGAGGUGCGCCGCGAGUUCGAGGCCAAGGGCGACCUCGCCUUCGCCCGCGGCCUCCACGGGGGCUGGGGGCCCGACCCGUUCCUCGCCCCCGGCUGCUUCAUGCCGCCGCCGCACGCGCCGAUGCCGAUGCCGAUGCGCCCGCCCCCGUACGCGCCGCCGCCGCCGGUGCCUUUCGACGAGUUUGGUGCCUGGCAGGGGUUUAGGCCUCGCCGGCACGCCGGAUUUGGGGAAAGGAUGCCGUUCCCCUGUGAGGAGGGGAGGUGGUCUCUGCCGCCGCAAAAGCCGAAGCAUAAGCUCAAGCUGGUUGAGAUCGAGCCCUCCGGGACACCUGAGGUAUGUGGGCACAAAUCUUUCUCAGAUUCUUCAGGCAAAGUCAUUAUCAUCGUAGUACUACGCCUGAAGUUCUUUUCCAGAUUCGGCAUCGUAGCACCUUCUGUAGAGUCACGAUUCACGAACACUAUCUCUUCUGAAGAUGCUUUCCAGAUUCGGCAUAGAAAAACUGUCACCUGCCUCAGAAAUUCCUUCUGUAUUUCUGUGAUGUCAUUUCAGAGUUCUGCACACUGUCUGUACAUUUUAUGUUUAUUUCACUUGUCCUAUUAGAUUUAACUUCAGCAGCAAAUUCUUGUUCCCUUUGUAUCUAAAGUAUAAGUCGUUUUUUCAGUUCAAAUUGAACUGCAAAAACGUCUUAUAUUUAGAUACAGAGGAAGUAGAAGAUAUUUCAAGUCAUGCGUAAGCCGGCAAUUCUUGAUAUCUAGAGGAAAUAUUUCUUUGCUUAGUUCAAUGGAAUAUCAAAUCUUGUUGGACUAUACCGGGACAAUUCUAUGAUCUAGACAGAAUAUUCCCCUUCCAGAUAACCGUAAUGAUCAACUAAAAUAUUUGAUUUAGGCAGACGGUGUGAACUUGUGUGGCAAAAAUAGUAUUCCUUUUGUAGGAAAAAGGGUGACAGGUGAACAUACUGAUUCUUGUCAGAACUGUUUGGUGGAAGUUAUGAAGUUAUUUUUGCUGGUGAUAUUGCUUACUGGGCACAUCAAGGCUCAGAUCAGAGAUACAUUCAGUCAUGAGACAUAGUUUCAACUUGCAAACAUCUGAAUACUCAUAACAUGCUAUUAUUCUAGAGCUGCAGGAUGUUGUUAGAUAUGCACACCCGAUUAACUAUUGCAUUGAAUGUUCAUCUCAGAAUCUUUCGCCAAAAUUGAAGGUUCCAAGGCUGAAGAGGAAAACAGAUGCCAAUGCUGCAGCUACUGUACCAAAGAAAGUACUGAAACUAGCCAAGGACUGGAGCUGUGCUCUAUGCCAGGUUAGUGCAACAUGUGAAGCUGGUCUAAAUGAGCAUCUCGGAGGAAGAAAACAUAAGGCCAAGUUGGCCCUGUGUGGCGCUAGCAAGGCAAUCAAAGAUGACAAAAACUGCUCGCAGACGACCACUGGGAAUAAGAACAGCACAGAUCCUUGUGAUGCACCUAAGAAAGUACACAUGCUAGUAGACGGUGAAAUGCAUGAAGUUGUUCAGAAGAACAACUAUCUGUGGUGUGAUCGCUGCAGAGUCAGGUGUGAUAGCAAUGUCAUCAUGGCUGGCCAUCUGCGGAGCAAGAAGCACAGUAAAUUAAACAAGGUUUGGACAUCGAUAAAGGCUGUGAGGACAAAUACCGAUACUAAGGAAGGUUUGCCUUCUUGUGGAAGUCGGGUAAAUACAAACGACUCUACUGAAAUUCCAGCGGUAAUUGAAGGCGACAUAAAUAUGACCAGUGAAGUAGAUGAAAGUAGCCCUGUAGAAAAUUCAGCCAGGAAAGAAAUCAAAAGCAUUGCCGCCGAAGUAGAAAUUCCAGCGGUAAUUGAAGGCGACAUAAAUAUGACCAGUGGUGUAGAUGAAAGUAGCCUUGUAGAAACUCCAGCUGGGAAAGAAAUCAGAAGCAUCGCCAGUGAAGUAGAAAGUAUAACCAUGGCUACCGAAGUACAUGAAAAUAACCCUGGGGAAACUCCAGUUGAAACAAAGAAGGAAAGCACAGACAUGACAAAUGAUGUGUGACAAGUCGUGCCAAAGGAGGAGUAACAGUAUACCUGCUCUUUGCCCAAGCUUCUUGCUUCUACCCUUUCGUUGGACAUGAUCUUAUCGUGGAACGUAUGCUUAGCUCAGUUUCAUCAUCAGAUGUGGGGUUCUCUCUUACCAUCCACAUGUACUCCCUCUGUAAAGAAAUAUAAGAGCAUUUAGAUUACUACUUUAGUGAUCUAAACGCUCUUAUAUUUCUUUACGGAGGGAGUAGUUUAUAGGGUAACAAUAAUGCAUAUGGGCAAUGUUUUCUUGUUAAGUUUCUUAGAUACUGGUAAUCAAGGUAGGAAUCUUACAAGUCUAUGAAUCCAGUGCAAUACAUGGCUUCUAAGGUAUCUAACUUGAUUACUAGUGUCUAAGCAACUUUCCAUGAGAAGCACUGCUCCCUAGAAGUAUGUGUUAUUGUUACUCUUUGGACACGUCUUUGACAUGGAGAUUAUGUUUUUUAUGUAGAAUGCCCCACUUUGAACUAUACCUUAGCUGCCUCUGUGGUACUUGUAUCCAGUUUUUAUUGUCGUCCUCUGUUUGUUUAUAUGUAAUGUGCUGAGGUGAGAUGGGUUGAGCUGGUGACGAGUAGGGUUUCUCUGGGUGCUAACCUGACUCUAGUUUGUAUUUUACUUAGGUCUUUUAG
rnacentral:lncRNA from 1 species